rnacentral:tRNA from 2 species
CUCUCGAUAGCUCAGUUGGUAGCAGCGCGGGACUGUAAUAGGUUCAAGCAAGCUUGCCUUGCCCAUUGUCAUCCCGAGGUCACCGGUUCGACCCCGGUUCGGGAGA